AUUCCUAAACAAUCAGGCAUUUAAAGCAGGUCCAUAAAAGAAAUUGUACCAUUAAAACAGUUCAAAAUGACGUUAAAAUGAACUAUGGAAAGUAUGCACCAUUUCAGUUCUUGGCAUACUGGUCAGAAGUAUGGCACUUCUACGAGGGAAGGUUUGGGAAGCUAAGUGAAAUGCCUUACUCCAGUUACAAACUUAUAACAGCCAGUAAUAUGAGAACCUAAAAAACCAGAAAGUUAAGAGGGCUUCUAUAUAUCUUUUGAUGUGGAAACCAUUCAGGCUUCAGCUAUGGACUCCGGACUCUGCAGGCUGCAGGAUGUGCUCAAUUUCUUUGACUACCUCGCACAUAGAGCUGUUGGUUCCCAGUUCCUGUACACACAUCAUUGCCAGUGUCCAAACUGAUGGCAGGGAUCAAGAAUCUUUGAUAAAUCGCAGUCAUCAACUCUCUUAACAUGUAGAUUCCUAGUUCUAUCGGAUUUCAUCAAAUGCAAAGCUAUAAUCAUCAAUGUCUAUUGUUAAUUAUCGAGUGGUGAAAUAUUUUGGA